rnacentral:miRNA from 3 species
UUUGUUUUAGCCUGAGCUAUG